rnacentral:rRNA from 1 species
UGGGCACUCUAAGGAGACUGCCGGUGAACAAACCGGAGGAAGGUGGGGAUGACGUCAAGUCAUCAUCGGCCCUUACGGCCUGGGCUACACACGUGCUACAAUGGUCGGUAACAAAGGGUUGCCAAGCCGCGAGGUGGAGCUAAUCCCAAUAAAACCGAUCGUAGUCCGGAUCGCAGUCUGCAACUCGACUGCGUGAAGUCGGAAUCGCUAGUAAUCGUGAAUCAGAAUGUCACGGUGAAUACGUUCCCGGGCCUU